rnacentral:rRNA from 1 species
UGGGGAAUUUUGGACAAUGGGCGAAAGCCUGAUCCAGCAAUGCCGCGUGUGUGAAGAAGGCCUUCGGGUUGUAAAGCACUUUUGUCCGGAAAGAAAUCCUUGGCUCUAAUACAGUCGGGGGAUGACGGUACCGGAAGAAUAAGCACCGGCUAACUACGUGCCAGCAGCCGCGGUAAUACGUAGGGUGCAAGCGUUAAUCGGAAUUACUGGGCGUAAAGCGUGCGCAGGCGGUUUGCUAAGACCGAUGUGAAAUCCCCGGGCUCAACCUGGGAACUGCAUUGGUGACUGGCAGGCUAGAGUAUGGCAGAGGGGGGUAGAAUUCCACGUGUAGCGGUGAAAUGCGUAGAGAUGUGGAGGAAUACCGAUGGCGAAGGCAGCCCCCUGGGCCAAUACUGACGCUCAUGCACGAAAGCGUGGGGAGCAAACAGGAUUAGAUACCCUGGUAGUCCACGCCCUAAACGAUGUCAACUAGUUGUUGGGGAUUCAUUUCCUAGUAACGUAGCUAACGCGUGAAGUUGACCGCCUGGGGAGUACGGUCGCAAGAUUAAAACUCAAAGGAAUUGACGGGGUCAUAGCUGUUUCCU